GACGAACGCUGGCGGCGUGCUUAACACAUGCAAGUCGAACGGACAGGCCCUGCUUUUGUGGGGUGCUCGAGUGGCGAACGGGUGAGUAACACGUGAGUAACCUGCCCUUGACUUUGGGAUAACUUCAGGAAACUGGGGCUCAUACCGGAUAGGAGCUCCUGCUGCAUGGUGGGGGUUGGAAAGUUUCGGCGGUUGGGGAUGGACUCGCGGCUUAUCAGCUUGUUGGUGGGGUAGUGGUUUACCAAGGCUUUGACGGGUAGCCGGCCUGAGAGGGUGACCGGCGACAUGGGGACUGAGAGACGGCCCAGACGGCUACGGGAGGCAGCAGGGGGGAAUAUGGCACAAUGGGCGGAAGCCUGAUGCAGCAACGCCGCGUGCGGGAUGACGGCCUUCGGGUUGUAAACCGCUGUCGCCGGUGACGAAGCGGGAGUGACGGUAAUGGGUAAAGAAGCACCGGCUAACUACGUG
rnacentral:rRNA from 1 species